rnacentral:rRNA from 1 species
UACGAAGGGGGCUAGCGUUGCUCGGAAUCACUGGGCGUAAAGGGUGCGUAGGCGGGUCUUUAAGUCAGGGGUGAAAUCCUGGAGCUCAACUCCAGAACUGCCUUUGAUACUGGGUAUCUCGAGUCCGAGAGAGGUGAGUGGAAUUCCGAGUGUAGAGGUGAAAUUCGUAGAUAUUCGGAGGAACACCAGUGGCGAAGGCAGCUCACUGGGACGGUAUUGACGCUGAGACGCGAAAGCGUGGGGAGCAAACAGG